rnacentral:rRNA from 1 species
CUCUUCUUCAAAUGUCGGUUCACUAAGCAUCUCUGGAACUUGGCAAAAUAUUGGCUACACCUUGAGAAGACCAACACCGAUGAUUGGCAUCUGGAGACCUCAGUCAAGGAGUGGUGGACAAAACAGUCGGACUCCUUAAUCGCGAACAUGAAGGCCAUGGCGUCCCUCACAAUGCUCGUAAGUUGGACCGUUUGGAAUGAAAGAAAUGCUAGGGUCUUUCGCAACAAGAGCACUCCGCCUACGACCUUACUUAACUCCAUCAAGGGGGCGGCUCGCCUUUGGGUGACUGCGGGUGCAAAAAAGUUGGGGCACAUCAUGCCGGGAGAGUAA